rnacentral:lncRNA from 1 species
CAAACUACCAGCUAAAGGAGGUAUAAAUUUACGUUAAUUUAUAGGCAACUAAUUCAGAUUUAGUACUGAGUUUUAAUGAGAAAUUAGUACUAAAUUUCCAUGAAACCUGUACUAAAUCUUUUGGAGGCAAGUGUUAUAAUACACACUUGAAUUUUUAAAAAGUUUUAUAUUUUUUGCCAAAUAAGUCAUUAGUACCAAUAAAAAAGAUUUCUUAAAUCAGAAAUUGUAGGGAAUUCUGGGGAAAUGGAUGGUUUAACAUUGAAAUUCACUUAUGAGAGAUCUUCAAAACUGAAUAUAGCUAUAUGAGAUUAGUAAAGCCCUAUGGAUGAGAUGUUUAUGUAAAGAGUUUUUAGUAUUUUAUGUAGCUGAACUCUUUUAUCCCCACUUUAAUAAAGUCUUUUGCCAAUUAUUGGAGCAUCUAUAAAUACUAACAGAAUAUAAACACAUUCUUAAAAUUUUAAAUGGCACGUACACACAAUUUUCUCUUUCAAGGCAUUUGGACUUCUAAGUCUAUGACGUGUUCUUGGCUGGUAUACAUACCUUCCUGAAAAUAUGAGCAAUUUCUGUAGCAAAGUG